rnacentral:rRNA from 1 species
UGGGGAAUAUUGCACAAUGGAGGGAACUCUGAUGCAGCGACGCCGCGUGAGUGAUGAAGGACUUCGUUUCGUAAAACUCUGUUCUAUGGGAAGAAAAGGACUGUACCAUAGGAGAAAGCUCCGGCUAAAUACGUGCCAGCAGCCGCGGUAAUACGUAUGGAGCGAGCGUUGUCCGGAAUUAUUGGGCGUAAAGGGUGCGCAGGCGGCUUUACAAGUUGGAUGUGAAAUAUUGUGGCUCAACCACAAACGUGCAUCCAAAACUGCAAAGCUUGAGUUAAGGAGAGGUAAGUGGAAUUCCUGGUGUAGCGGUGGAAUGCGUAGAUAUCAGGAGGAAUACCGGUGGCGAAGGCGACUUACUGGACUUAAACAGACGCUCAGGCACGAAAGCGUGGGGAGCAAACAGG